rnacentral:misc_RNA from 1 species
CAAAUUUUGUUUUUAUUCUCAUUUCAGGUAUAUUUCUUGAAGUCCUCGUGGGAUUGAAUGAUCAGGUGGUCAUCUUCCCAUUCAUCACGGUAUGUCUUGGGCCGGACAGUACUGUUUUUGGUAGUAUAAUGGUACAUUUGGUUUCUCCAUUCUUCAAAGCCUGGACAUUGGCACUGUGCAGCAAGCCACUUGUUGUAGUCAGCCUGAUGAUUAAAUAAAUUAUGGGUAUAUCGCUUAGGUAUGCCAGAAGCUUCAAGUGUUGAGUAGAAAGUGUUGACAUCUUCCACCAUCUCCUCUUGAGAUGGAAGCAAAAUUCUACCAGAUAAAACACUAGCAAUCCACUUGCUUUGAAAUUCUAACAUUGGGAAAGGGGUGACCUUCCAUGGUAUGCCAACAAAUGAAACCCAUGGGGCCAAGACAGGGGGGAAAACAUGCUUGUACAGUGGCCCCACACGAUUGUCAUUAACAGUCACAAUGCCAUGGGUUUUGAGGAAGGGGAAGUGAUACUUGUACCCGGUGCAAUGCAGAAUAACGUCUGCAACAAUAGCACUACCAUCUCUGAAAACCACAGUACCAUCUUCAUGGGAACUUUCUAUCAUUGAAUGAAGCCACAUAUUAUCAUAUCCGCGUUGUUUUUCAUAUGUACCAUCUGGAACUGAUCUAGAUGCAAUGUGGACCUCUUUGGCAACUGCAGCUAUCUCAGCGGAUAUAUCAGCAGAACUCCAGGAAUGGCCUAUUAUAAUUAUCAUCUGAUCCCUGAAAGGCUCUGGAGUACGAUAGUUGUGGCUGUGUAUUUGCUUUCCAGGCCACAAAUCGACGCCUGGAAUUUCAGCUAUACGAGGUUCUGUAUGAUGUCCACUGCAAACAACCACAGCAUCAAAAACCUCAUCUAGAAAACAAUCAUUCCCAUAAUUAUCGCCAUCACUCUCAAUUCUCUUCUUGUGUGACUUCACUUUCCAAUUCCGAUCAUCAAUCAGCUCCACGCUAACCACCUCACGGUGAAACCUAAUCAGCUCUUCAAUCCUAAACUUCCUUGCAAAGUCUUGCAAAUAGAGCAACACUUCUCUGUGACCCGGAAACCUUCUCGGGUCUCUCGUUUCACC